rnacentral:rRNA from 1 species
AUGGGCAAGGCUGGCAGGUGGCUCAGAAGCUUCCUGACCGGCAAGAAGGCCAAGGACAGGGGGGCAGACGAGCCGGCCGCCAAGGAGAAGAGACGCUGGAGCUUCCGGCGUCCCGCGGCGUCGGUGAGCGCCAGGGACACGAGCAGCGCCACGUCCGGCUGCCACGGCAAGGGCCAGCUCGCGUCCGCGUCGUCGCACUGCUUCUCGGAGGUGCAUGUGGUGACGGUGCAGGACCAGCAUGCCGUCGGUGCUGCGCCGCGCGUGGUCGCGAUCACCGCGGCCACGGCGCCGCCGGAGGGCAGCGCCCGUGACGCCGAGGAAGCCGCGGCCGUCAAGAUUCAGUCGGCCUUCCGAUCGUACCUGGCGAGGACGGCACUGUGCGCGCUGCGAGGGAUGGUGAAGCUGCAGGCCAUCGUGAGGGGCCAGCUGGUGAGGCGGCAGGCGGACAUGACGCUCCGCCGCAUCCAGGCGCUCGUCGCCGCCCAGAGGCGCGCGCGUGCCGAGCGACUGCGGCUCCGGCUCCUCGACGACGGCACGCCGCCGGCGCGGACGGGCCGCCGUUCGCCGCAGCAUCACUGCUCCCCCCGGAAGCCACUAUCCGUGGCAAUGCAGGAGGAGAGCGGGAAGGGCAUCGGGGAGGUGGACAGCGGCGGCGGCGCACGGCGCAACAGCUGCUGCUCGACGCCGGCGAAGGCGGAGCUGUACUACAACCAGAAGGCGUCGCCGGGGCCGUCGGGGCUGACGUCGGACUUGAGCGUGCGGACGUUCAGCGGCCGGUUCGACGAGGAGCACUACUCGUCCGCCUCCUUCUCCGCGGCGGCGUCCGAGGCGAGCGGGCGCCACCGCGGCGGCAAGGCGUGCCACGCCCACGCCGCGAGCUACAUGGCCAACACGGAGUCGUCGCGCGCCAAGCAUGCCCGGUCGCAGAGCGCGCCGCGGCAUCGCCCCGAGGCGGCCUCGCCGUCGCGGUCGUACGAGCGGCCGCCUAGUGGGGGCGGCGGCCGGCGCAGGGCGUCCCUCGACCCGCGGGACCUCGCCGGCCAAGUGCGCGCCCCCUCGCCAAGGAGCUCCGUUGACGCGGGGCGUGUGACGCCGCAGGACAGGCCCGGCGCUUCGCUCGCCGUCAGCGAGCGCGGGUCGUCGUCGAGCACCGCGCUGCUGCUGACCUCGGCGGCCGCGGUGCGCAUCGCGAAAUGA